rnacentral:pre_miRNA from 1 species
AGGAGGAACAACCGCAGUGGCGGGGCCAGCUCUGGAGCUCCUGCAGUAACUCCAGAGCUCUCCGUCUGCAGGGCCUGGAGGCUCCGGGGCGGG